GACGGGUAUCCGGCCUGAGAGGGUGAACGGACACACUGGAACUGAGACACGGUCCAGACUCCUACGGGAGGCAGCAGUAGGGAAUAUUGCUCAAUGGGGGAAACCCUGAAGCAGCAACGCCGCGUGGAGGAUGAAGGUUUUAGGAUUU
rnacentral:rRNA from 1 species